rnacentral:rRNA from 1 species
AACAAACGCUGGCGGCGUGCCUAACACAUGCAAGUCGUACGAGAAAGGGUCCUUCGGGGCCUGAGUAAAGUGGCGCACGGGUGAGUAACGCGUGGAUAAUCUGCCCUUCAGUUGGGAAUAACUCAUCGAAAGGUGGGCUAAUACCGAAUAAUGCUGUGAGACCUCGGUUGAUCAGCCAAAGAGAGCCUCUGCUUGUAAGCCCUCGCUGAAGGAUGAGUCCGCGUACCAUUAGCUAGUUGGUAGGGUAAUGGCCUACCAAGGCGACGAUGGUUAGCUGGUCUGGGAGGAUGAUCAGCCACACUGGAACUGAGACACGGUCCAGACUCCUACGGGAGGCAGCAGUGAGGAAUCUUGCGCAAUGGGGGCAACCCUGACGCAGCAACGCCGCGUGAGUGAGGAAGGUCUUCGGAUCGUAAAGCCCUGUCGGAUGGAAAGAACCGCAUAGGGGUAAACAGCCCCUGUGUCUGACGGUACCAUCAAAGGAAGCACCGGCUAACUCCGUGCCAGCCGCCGCGGUAACAC